rnacentral:rRNA from 1 species
CCGGAUUUACUGGGUUUAAAGGAUCCGUAGGCGGGAGAAUCAGUCGGCGGAUGAAAUCAGGUGGCUCAACCAUCUGGCUGUUGCCGAAACUGUUCUUCUUGAAUUAGAUUGAGGUGGCUGGAAUAGGCAGUGUANCGGUGAAAUGCGUAGAGAUUGCCUAGAACACCGAUUGCGAAGGCAGGUCACUAAGUCUACAUUGACGCUGAUGGAUGAAAGCGUGGGGAGCGAACAGGAUUAGAUACCCUGGUAGUCCACGCCGUAAACGAUGGAUACUCGCUGCUCGAACACUUGAGUUCGAGUGGCUGCGAGAAAUCAUUAAGUAUCCCACCUGGGGAGUACGCCCGCAAGGGUGAAACUCAAAGGAAUUGACGGGGGCCCGCACAAGUGGUGGAGCAUGUGGUUUAAUUCGAUGAUACGCGAGGAACCUUACCUGGGCUCGAAUGGUACCGGAAGGUCCCCGAAACGGGACUGUUUCUUCGGAACCGGUAUCAAGGUGCUGCAUGGUUGUCGUCAGCUCGUGCCGUGAGGUGUUGGGUUAAGUCCCGCAACGAGCGCAACCCCUAUGGUUAGUUGCCAGCAGGUAAAGCUGGGGACUCUAGCCAGACUGCCCGUGCAAGCGGAGAGGAAGGCGGGGACGACGUCAAAUCAUCAUGGCCCUUACGCCCAGGGCGACACACGUGCUACAAUGGACGGUACAGCAGGCAGCGACCCCGCGAGGGCAAGCAAAUCCGCAAAAGCCGUUCUCAGUUCGGAUCGUAGUCUGCAACUCGACUGCGUGAAGCCGGAAUCACUAGUAAUCGCGCAUCAGCCAUGGCGCGGUGAAUACGUUCCCGGGCCUUGUACACACCGCCCGUCAAGCCACGGAAGCUGGGGGUGCCUGAAGUCG